UACAUAUGGGGCAAGCGUUGUUCGGAAUUACUGGGCAUAAAGGGUGCGUAGGUGGUUUGUUAAGUCAGGGGUGAAAUCCCGCGGCCCAACCGUGGAACUGCCUUUGAUACUGGCGAACUUGAGUGCGUGAGGGGUAGGGGGAACGAGCAGUGUAGCGGUGAAAUGCGUAGAUAUUGGGCGGAAGGCCAGAGGCGAAGGGGGCCUACUGGGACGUAACUGACGCUGAGGCACGAAAGCGUGGGGAGCAAACAGG
rnacentral:rRNA from 1 species